UGUUUUGUAAAAAAAAAUGACUUUUUAAAACAGGGAAUUAGCACACUUUGCUUUAUUUAUUAAAAAAAAAACUAAAAUAUAAAUGUAGAUGAUAAUUUCUCAUGGCCACUUGGCCGUAACCGCGUCUUAAGCAGGGGAAAAUCGCGGGGGUAGGGAUUUAACCAAACAAAAUUAUUGGCUAUUGUUGCACAAUAAACACAACAACUAUAACAUCGAAAAAUUAAGAACUCUAUCUUAAUGUCUGUCUACACCUUUCUACCUAUCUACUUAGGCACAAAAUACAGUUAAAUCAACAGGGAAACUAAACUAAAAAGAUAAGCUUAAAAUAACAGGCAUAACAUUUUUAAAAUUCAAGGUAAACGAGGUUUAUAUAUAAAAUAGGCGUAAGUAACGUGUAAACUGCCUUGUAUAUAUAUCGAGAAUGAGGUUCAGAGGUCCCUCCCCCACCCCUUCCCCUCUGGCGUGGCGGCCAUGGCGCGUGCAUUUACUCGGGAGUAGUUGCGUGUGCCACCGCUGUACUGAUGCUGUCUUGGCGCCGGAGCCGGGCGCUGCUGUCUUGUGUUUAUGACUUGAUGAUUAACAUCGCACAACAGUAAGAGUUCUAAGUGUAUAACCAAGGAACCAAAUAUUAUUAUUAAUGUAUCUAAAUUGUAAUUUAUUGUGGGCGAACAUUCUUCUGUAUCUAAUGGUGGAGCUAUUUAUGAUUUUAAUUGUUAUGUAAAAAUAAAAUACACUGUAUUGUUUAUGUGGUGUAUGAAAGAAAACUAAACUUCGCUGAAUUCGGAUAGACAGUUAAUGACGUCAUUAAAUCGAUUAAUUGUUACGUUACGUCUUGUGUCUUUUGACUUCGUUGAUUUUGUGAUUUUGAAAUUUGACAGAUCUAGAAAUAUUGUUGUUUCUAUGGAACUAAUAGAUAGUGAAAGGGAUAACAAUGUUCAUUUACGUAUUAGUAGUAAAGUGUAGGGCAGGAAGUGAUUUGUUUUUUUUCCUGUUCCGUAUGACAAAGAAUUGGAAUACACUGCCGACAUCUGUGUUUCCGGAAAGCAAUAAUUUUGCGUUAUUUAAGGCUAAUAAGAACAGGCUUUCGUCAGUCGCUUAACAUCAAGUGAGGUUGUGGCCAAGUCUUCGUCUACUUGUAAUGCUUGCCAUCGUGGUGGAAGGGUUUGCCCAUCGCUUUAUUAAAAGCCUAGUUCACCCCAAUCUAUUCCUUUCAAAACUAGAGAACAUUUGUCUUAAAGCAAUCACCAUUUGCCACUGAUAUGUAUUUAGAUCUGUGGAUUUUGAGAAUUUCCAGUCACCGAAGCAUUACUCACUAGACAUUUCGUGUGGUUAAUUUUCACGGUUUUUACCUACGUUCCGCACAAUCAUGCACAAAAAGGUUUUUAU